AUUGAACGCUGGCGGCAGGCCUAACACAUGCAAGUCGAGCGGGGUUUUCGGACCUAGCGGCGGACGGGUGAGUAAUGCGUAGGAAGCUACCCGAUAGAGGGGGAUACCAGUUGGAAACGACUGUUAAUACCGCAUAAUGGCUACGGACCAAAGUGGGGGACCUUCGGGCCCCAUUCUAUCGGAUGCGGCGACGUGGGAUUAGCUAGUUGGUGGGGUAAUGGCUCACCAAGGCGACGAUCCCUAGCUGGUUUGAGAGGAUGAUCAGCCACACUGGAACUGAGACACGGUCCAGACUCCUACGGGAGGCAGCAGUGGGGGAUAUUGGACAAUGGGCGCAAGCCUGAUCCAGCCAUGCCGCGUGUGUGAAGAAGGCCUUCGGGUUGUAAAGCACUUUCAGUAGGGAGGAAGGGUGUUGUGUUAAUAGCACAGCAUUUUGACGUUACCUACAGAAGAAGCACCGGCUAACUCUGUGCCAGCAGCCGCGGUAAGAC
rnacentral:rRNA from 1 species